AAAAGCUCGUAGUUGGAUCUCAGUUCCAGACGGGUGGUCCGCCUAUCGGUGGUCACUGCCCGUUCUGAACAGCCAGCCGGUUUCCCUUGAUGAUCUUCACCGGUUGUCUCGGGUGACCGGCAAGUUUACUUUGAAAAAAUUAGAGUGCUCAAAGCAGGCGUGACGCCUGAAUAAUGGUGCAUGGAAUAAUGGAAUAGGACCUCGGUUCUAUUUUGUUGGUUUUCGGAACCCGAGGUAAUGAUUAAGAGGGACAGACGGGGGCAUUCGUAUUGCGACGCUAGAGGUGAAAUUCUUGGACCGUCGCAAGACGAACUACUGCGAAAGCAUUUGCCAAGAAUGUUUCCAUUAAUCAAGAACGAAAGUUAGAGGUUCGAAGGCGAUCAGAUACCGCCCUAGUUCUAACCAUAAACGAUGCCAGCCAGCGAUCCGGCUGUGUUUCUCAAAAUGACACGCCGGGCAGCUUCCGGGAAACCAAAGCUUUUGGGUUCCGGGGGAAGUAUGGUUGCAAAGCUGAAACUUAAAGGAAUUGACGGAAGGACACCACCAGGCAUGGAGCUUGCGGCUUAAUUUGACUCAACGCUGGUAAACUUACCCGGCCCGGACACAGGAAGGAUUGACAGAUUGAGAGCUCUUUCUUGAUUCUGUGGGUGGUGGUGCAUGGCCGUUCUUAGUUGGUGGAGCGAUUUGUCUGGUUAAUUCCGAUAACGAACGAGACUCUAGCCUACUAAAUAGACGCUCCGAUCAUAUAUAGUCGGACGUUCUUCUUAGAGGGACAAGCGGCGUUCAGCCGCGCGAGACAGAGCAAUAACAGGUCUGUGAUGCCCUUAGAUGUCCGGGGCCGCACGCGUGCUACAUUGAAGGAGUCAGCGUGUGCUUUCCCUGUCCGACAGGACUGGGUAACCCGUUGAAACCCUUUCGUGCUUGGGAUAGGAUUUUUGAAUUUUCAUCCUUGAACGAGGAAUUCCCAGUAAGCACGAGUCAUCAUCUCGUGUUGAUUACGUCCCUGUCCUUUGUACACACCGCCCGUCGCUACUACCGAUUGAAUGAUUUAGUGAGGUCUUCAGACUGGCGCUCGAUGCGGCCUUCGGGUCACGCCGGCGUGCCGGAAAGAUGACCGAACUUGAUCAUUUAGAGGAAGUAAAAGUCGUAACAAGGUUUC
rnacentral:rRNA from 1 species